rnacentral:rRNA from 1 species
GCCGGGACCAUCCGGUAAGGCUAAAUACUCCCGAGAGACCGAUAGCGAACCAGUACUGUGAAGGAAAGGUGAAAAGCACUUCGAAUAGAAGAGUGAAAUAGUCCCUGAAACCAUGCGCCUACAAGCGGUCGGAGCAGCUUCAGCUGUGACGGCGUGCCUUUUGCAUAAUGAACCUACGAGUUACUUUUUCCGGCAAGGUUAAGCAUCUUGAGAUGUGGAUCCGAAGCGAAAGCGAGUCUGAACAGGGCGGAUAGUCGGAAGGAGUAGACGCGAAACCAAGUGAUCUACCCUUGGGCAGGUUGAAGGUUAGGUAACACUAACUGGAGGACCGAACCGAUAAGCGUUGAAAAGCUUCCGGAUGACCUGAGGGUGGGGGUGAAAGGCUAAUCAAACUUGGAGAUAGCUCGUACUCCCCGAAAUGCAUUUAGGUGCAGCCUUGAGAGUUACUAAUGUGAGGUAGAGCGACUGAUAAGAUGCGAGGGCUUCACCGCCUAUCAAGUCUUGAUAAACUCCGAAUGCGCAUUAGUUCUAUCUCAGGAGUGAGGGCAUGGGUGCUAAGGUCCAUGUCCUAAAGGAGAAGAAUCCAGACCAUCAGCUAAGGUCCCCAAAUAAACACUAAGUUGAACUAACGAAGUCAGAUUGCUAAGACAGCUAGGAUGUUGGCUUGGAAGCAGCCAUUCAUUUAAAGAGUGCGUAACAGCUCACUAGUCGAGGAGUUUGGCGUGGAUAAUAAUCGGGCAUAAGUGUUUUACCGAAGCUAUGGGAUCCUAACGGAUCGGUAGGGGAGCAUUCCACUCAGCGUUGAAGGCGAAGCGUGAGCUUUACUGGAGCGUGUGGAAAAGCAAAUGUAGGUAUAAGUAACGAUAAAGGGGGUGAGAAACCCCCUCGCCGAAAGACUAAGGUUUCCUGAUCAACGCUAAUCGGAUCAGGGUUAGUCGGGUCCUAAGGCUCAGCCGAACGGUGAGGCCGAUGGCAGAACAGGUUAAUAUUCCUGUACUACCUAUAGGAGUGAUGUGGAGACGGAGGAGUGACAACGCCGCGGACUGACGGAAUAGUCCGUUAAAGGGUGUAGAUGUUGAUUAUCCCAGGCAAAUCCGGGAUAAGAGUCGAACCUGACAGUAUACCAAUUUCCUCGGAAAACGGUAAUAGUGCGUGUAAACAUACUCCCAAGAAAAUCCGCUAAACUUAAUCUUAUAGGUACCCGUACCGUAAACGGACACACGUAGUCGGGUUGAAUAUACUCAGGCGCUUGAGUGAAUCACGGUUAAGGAACUAGGCAAAUUGACCCUGUAACUUCGGGAUAAAGGGUCCCUACCCGGUGACGGGAGGGCGCAGAGAAUAGGUCCAGGCAACUGUUUAACAAAAACACAGGGCUGUGCAAAAUUGAAAGAUCACGUAUACAGCCUGACACCUGCCCGGUGCUGGAAGGUUAAGAGGAGAUGUCAUCGCAAGAGAAGCAUUGAAUUGAAGCCCCAGUAAACGGCGGCCGUAACUAUAACGGUCCUAAGGUAGCGAAAUUCCUUGUCGGGUAAGUUCCGACCUGCACGAAUGGUGUAAUGAUCUGGACACUGUCUCAACCGUGAGCUCAGUGAAAUUGUAGUAUCGGUGAAGAUGCCGAUUACCCGCGAUGGGACGAAAAGACCCCGUGAACCUUUACUAUAGCUUAACAUUGAAUUUGGGUAAUUGAUGUGUAGGAUAGGCCGGAGACUUUGAAGCAGGCACGCCAGUGUUUGUGGAGUCGCUGUUGAAAUACGGCCCUUUGGUUAUUUGAGUUCUAACUCGCUGAUGCGAGGACACUGUUUGGUGGGUAGUUUGACUGGGGUGGUCGCCUCCAAAAGCGUAACGGAGGCUUCUAAAGGUGCCCUCACGCCGAUUGGUAACCGGCGGUAGAGUGUAAUGGCAUAAGGGCGCUUGACUGGGAGACUUACAAGUCGAUCAGGUAGGAAACUAGAGCAUAGUGAUCCGGUGUUUCCGUAUGGAAGGGACAUCGCUCAAAGGAUAAAAGGUACUCCGGGGAUAACAGGCUGAUCCCUCCCAAGAGCUCAUAUCGACGGAGGGGUUUGGCACCUCGAUGUCGGCUCGUCACAUCCUGGGGCUGGAGAAGGUCCCAAGGGUUGGGCUGUUCGCCCAUUAAAGUGGCACGCGAGCUGGGUUCAGAACGUCGUGAGACAGUUCGGUCUCUAUCUAUCGUGGGCGUAUGAAAUUUGCGUGGCUCUGACACUAGUACGAGAGGACCGUGUUGGACUGACCUCUGGUUUACCGGUUGUGCCGCCAGGUGCAUUGCCGGGUAUCUAAGUCGGGAUUGGAUAAGUGCUGAAAGCAUCUAAGUACGAAGCCAGCCACAAGAUUAGAUUUCU